rnacentral:lncRNA from 1 species
AAAUGUAAAUAAUAUAAAUAAUAGAAAUAAGUACAAGUUGUGCUUAAGGGUUGAUCUAAUCAACUAGUCCUUCCUCCCUCAACAAAAUUUCAAGCCUUGUCUCGUUGGCAGAAAGGAUUAUUUUACAGAAUUAGUUGUGCUUCAAAUUUUCUAAUGGUUUUCAGUUACAUUUUCUGAUGUUCUGAGAUCAAAUACUUCUGUGGUUAGUUUUGCUAUUCAUUCUUUUGUUAUCAAUAAGAUAUGUUUGCAGUCAAGUACUGGGGCUGAUUAUAAUUAAUCAUGUCCUUCUUUCCAAACUUUUAGCCCUUUACUUAAAAAUCAGAAUUGUUACUCUUUGUUGUUAUUCCUUUUCACCACUUCUCGUCACCCUCCUUCAAACCCUUCAUUUAUCUUCUUCCCCUCCUCUUGCUCCUCUUUCUUCUCAAGCAUUUGGAAGCCCUCAUGGUUUGAGUUUUUGAGUUUUACCAGUGGUGUAGUAAAAGAGGUGAUGGUGAAGUUGAUGGGGACAAUCCUCCCCAGGUGGCACUUUUAUGGAUGGGUAGCACUCUUGAAUCUGCCAUGUAAGCCUGUACAUAGUGCACUGUAUAGAAUUCCUGAUUGAUUUUUAGUCGUAAUUUUUAGUAUAUAGUAAUGUCACAUAUUAAGAUACAUUUCACUUAAUAUGCCCACUUUUAGCCUUCACAAUAGCCUGACGACAGCCAAGAUCAGAGUCACAUGAAUCCCAGACAACUUCUCGUCAAUGAUCCUAUGACAUGACUAAGGCUUUCUUCAGAGAGGUGAUGUUUUUGUAGGAAACUUUUGAAACGUCACUUUCUAGAAUGAACCAAAUAGCAAAUAUCAUAGAGUUGAUAUCUGGGCUGGAAUCUUGUCUCAGAUUCCACUGAAAUGUCUCCUGCACCACUGCAGUGUCACAUUGGAAGUAAGAGAAGGAGCGCUGUCUUUCAUGAACAUGUAAUUAUCUCCAAAUGCUUCGGUCACCCAUGGCAAAACAUAAUCCUCCAAAAUUUUCAUGUAAAUUGCAGAAUUGACCUUUGUCUCCUCUUUAAUGAACACCAGAGGAGAUUUUCCAUCAUCGGAUGACAUUGUCACCCACUCAUUCACUCAAGUGGAUUUCAUUCAAUGAAAAACCUUACAGGCACCUUUGGGAACAGAAUCCAGCCUCGUGGUCAAAAUCCUAUCAUCCUGGUUGUUCACCACAGCCUCUACAGUGAAUAUCUUUCCUUCUAAUCAGCUGAAGACAUUGUUACCAGUGCUCUGAGUCUCUUCCACCAUUUUCUUGCUUUGGAAGCAGCUGAAAUUAGGUGUUGGCAUUGCAGUUUUAAUGACUUUCAAUUUAAGUCUUUGUGGUUGUCUGUCAUAUGGUUGUCUGGCAGAUAUCGAGACUUUUAGGACAUUUUUCUCAUGCUCCACCGUGGAUUUUACAAGACUCUUUUGGGCAACAUUCACCAAUUGCAUUGUCUUUAUGGGUCAUUUUUGACUAGGAAGAUAUGGGCUUGCUAUUGAUUGAACUUGUUUCCCUGUAGCCUUUCAUGACAUUAUAGAUUGUUUUGGGAUUGACACCAACCCUUGAAGCCAUGUCUUUGGUGCUAUAUCCUGGUUUUUACAGAGCUACAAUCUCACUUUGCCUGUUAGCUGCUCUACUGAAGCAUCUUACUUGCCGAAUGUAAACAAAUAAUGACAAGGAGCACAUUUUAAUUAUUUAUGUGCAAUUUCAAACUAAAUUUAAUAAAAUUAAUUAAUUUAAAUAAUCAGGAAUUCCUUAUGGUGCACCCUAUAUAGAGAGCAGGGGCAGUAAAUUGAAGACUGCCUCUGGUGAUGUACAUUUAGCUAUGUCACUGAGUUCCACUCAACCCAUGAGACUCAACUCAACCAGGCAAACUAAUUAUUUGUUAGUGUGAAUUAUAGUUAAGACUGUCAGUGAUAGGCUUUAAGGAUCUGCCUCCACUAUCUAGCCUCUAUUUCAGCUUAAAUGAACCCAAGUCUUCUCAGAAGAAUUUUCUAAUGUUCUACACACCGAAAAACAAAACAAGCAAAAAAAAAUCUAAGUAAACCUCAUAUAGAUUUGAUCUCA